rnacentral:rRNA from 1 species
CAGUCGCCGCGGGAAUACGAAGGGUGCAAGCGUUACUCGGAAUUACUGGGCAUAAAGCGUGUGUAGGUGGUUGUUUAAGUCUGUCGUGAAAGCCCUGGGCUCAACCUGGGAAUUGCGAUGGAUACUGGCAAGCUAGAGUGUGUCAGAGGAUGGUGGAAUUCCCGGUGUAGCGGUGAAAUGCGUAGAGAUCGGGAGGAACAUCAGUGGCGAAGGCGGCCAUCUGGGACAACACUGACGCUGAGGCACGAAAGCGUGGGGAGCAAACAGGAUUAGAUACCCGAGUAGUCCCUGUCUCUUAUAA